GACGAACGCUGGCGGCGUGCUUAACACAUGCAAGUCGAACGGAAAGGCCCUGCUUUUGUGGGGUGCUCGAGUGGCGAACGGGUGAGUAACACGUGAGUAACCUGCCCUUGACUUUGGGAUAACUUCAGGAAACUGGGGCUAAUACCGGAUAGGAGCUCCUGCUGCAUGGUGGGGGUUGGAAAGUUUCGGCGGUUGGGGAUGGACUCGCGGCUUAUCAGCUUGUUGGUGGGGUAGUGGCUUACCAAGGCUUUGACGGGUAGCCGGCCUGAGAGGGUGACCGGCCACAGUGGGACUGAGAUACGGCCCAGACUCCUACGGGAGGCAGCAGUGGGGAAUAUUGCACGAUGGGCGGAAGCCUGAUGCAGCAACGCCGCGUGCGGGAUGACGGCCUUCGGGUUGUAAACCGCUUUCGCCUGUGACGAAGCGUGAGUGACGGUAAUGGGUAAAGAAGCACCGGCUAACUACGU
rnacentral:rRNA from 1 species